ensembl:processed_transcript growth arrest specific 5
GAACAAAUACUGACUACCUGAAGAUCUUAUUAGCUCUAUCUGAUGGUGGGCUUCCUUGGCAUUUAUUGUGGGGCAAACUCAAAUCUGUUAACUGCAUUGAAAAGCUCUUUUAAUUUUUUUUUCUAGGUGGAGUUUGAGGCUGGAUAGACAGUUUGAAAGGUACAAAUGAUGGUUUGAAUAAAGAAAGAUAUUACGCAUGGGUCACCUCAAGUGAAGGCGCUGCAAGCACAAUGAUUGGUCAUUCUGAAUUUCCCGUCCUUCAUUCUGAAUUUCAAAGGCUCCUGUGACAAGUGGACAUGCAGUGACUGUACCUUUUGUACCUUUGUUUCUGAGGUGCCUGGAUGGAGGCUCAAAUAGAAGAUGGUGUCAGAUAUAUUGUGUUGUCAAAAUUUUGCCAUUAAAGUGUAUUAUAACAUUAA